rnacentral:rRNA from 1 species
UGGGGAAUAUUGCACAAUGGGCGAAAGCCUGAUGCAGCAACGCCGCGUGAGUGAUGAAGGCCUUCGGGUUGUAAAGCUCUGUCUUUUGGGACGAUAAUGACGGUACCAAAGGAGGAAGCCACGGCUAACUACGUGCCAGCAGCCGCGGUAAUACGUAGGUGGCAAGCGUUGUCCGGAUUUACUGGGCGUAAAGGAUGCGUAGGCGGAUUUUUAAGUGAGAUGUGAAAACCCUAAGCUUAACUUGGGGACUGCAUUUCAUACUGGAAAUCUAGAGUGCGGGAGAGGAGAAUGGAAUUCCUAGUGUAGCGGUGAAAUGCGUAGAGAUUAGGAAGAACACCAGUGGCGAAGGCGAUUCUCUGGACCGUAACUGACGCUGAGGCAUGAAAAGCGUGGGUAGCAAACAGGAUUAGAUACCCUGGUAGUCCACGCCGUAAACGAUGAGUACUAGGUGUAGGAGGUAUCGACCCCUUCUGUGCCGCAGUUAACACAAUAAGUACUCCGCCUGGGAAGUACGAUCGCAAGAUUAAAACUUAAAUGAAUUGACGGGGUCAUAGCUGUUUCCU